rnacentral:rRNA from 1 species
GACGAACGCUGGCGGCGUGCUUAACACAUGCCAGUCGAACGGAAAGGCCCUGCUUUUGUGGGGUUCUCGAGUGGCGAACGGGUGCGUAACACGUGAGUAACCUACCCUUGACUUUGGGAUAACUUCAGGAAACUGGGGCUAAUACCGGAUAGGAGCUCCUGCUGCAUGGUGGGGGUUGGAAAGUUUCGGCUGUUGGGGUUGGACUCGCGGCUUAUCAGCUUGUUGGUUGGGUAGUGGCUUACCAAGGCUUUGACGGGUAGCCGGCCUGGGAGGGUGACCGGCGUCAUUGGGCCUGAGGUACGGCCCAGAGUGCUACGUGAGGCAGCAGUGGGGAAUCUUACACAGUGGGCGGGAGCCUGAUGAAGAAACGCUGCGUGCGGGAUGACGGCCUUCUGGUUGUAAAACGCUUUCGCCUGUGACGAAGCGUGAGUGACGGUAAUGAGUGAAGAAGCACCGGCUAACUACGUG